rnacentral:rRNA from 3 species
UACGGAGGAUUCAAGCGUUAUCCGGAUUUAUUGGGUUUAAAGGGUGCGUAGGCGGUUUGAUAAGUUAGAGGUGAAAUCCCGGGGCUUAACUCCGGAACUGCCUCUAAUACUGUUAGACUAGAGAGUAGUUGCGGUAGGCGGAAUGUAUGGUGUAGCGGUGAAAUGCUUAGAGAUCAUACAGAACACCGAUUGCGAAGGCAGCUUACCAAACUAUAUCUGACGUUGAGGCACGAAAGCGUGGGGAGCAAACAGG